UAUAAAUAUAUUUACAUGUAAACAUAUAUUACAUACUGUAUACAUUUUUUAACAUAGCAAAGCCUCUCACAUACAGUUACAGACCCCUUUGUCCGCAUCCUCUGGCCUAUUCUCUCCCUCCCUGUGCAGUAUCCACCCCGGAGUUACCAUAUCUUCCUCCUGCCCGUGUUUUUUAAUUUUGCUGCAAAUACACAGUCCCUGAACUAUAUAUAGCAUUUAUUCUGUAUUUGGUAUGGUUGCUUCAUUCUACUGCUGGCGUUUUCCACUCAACAUCCUACCUUCCGGGCCAAUGUUGUUGCCAUUCACAAGCCUAGUUCAUUCUACGAAAAUGCUCUGCAGCGUUCCCUUCUCUGGGCACCUCACCACUUAUUUCGCCGCUGUUCUCUGAUGGAUGCUUUUGCUUUUUUCCAGUCUUACCAGCAGGGCAGUGACAAGGUUGCUAGGUGGAGGAGUCUGAAUGUUCACCUAGGAUGUUUUUCUAGCAGGAGGAAUCGCAUGGUCAGCUGUGCGAGAUGUGCUGCUUUGCCCUCCACGGCAUCUACUCCACACUCCCAGCAGCGUGUGAGAAGGCCCUGCUGGAGUGGCCAGGGGACCCUCGGAGGAGCCUAGGCCCUCCAGGGUGGGCCAGUCUCCCGUCAAGUGCUGUUAGGUUUGCUAAGUUCAUUCAGGCACCACUUUGGAGACGGACCCUCAGCACUGAGAAGGAGGGUUACUGGUUGGAUCUAGAUGUGUUGCGUUACAGGUAGCACAAGGAGCUGUGUUCCCCGCCUGGUCAUGUGGUAGGACAGUCAACUGUCGUCACCAUCCCUGUAGCACCAGCACAUCUGAUGCCAGCAGGAGUGGAUGGCCCCACUUCUCCAGGUGUCUUCACCUGCCACUUACUGGAACCUGCUCUGUCAAGGCAGGCCCUGAAGGUUUCUUCAAAUAUAGCUGAGGAGGGAAGAGAUACUUUGCCUUCAACAUCGGUGACCCGAGUCCUCUGGAACUGCCUCCAAAGAGGAAGAGCACUUUCCCCUCUCAGACAACAUGGUACCGGCACCCCUCACUCUCAACACAGAAUGGAACAUAGUCUGCACUCCUGUAGAUGAUCUGAAGGCAUCAGGGGACCAUGUGAUACCAACCUCAGUCUCAGAGGGUAGGCCCUGCACGGGGUUGCGCAGCGUGGGGCCGCACCCCUCAGCCCUACCCCUCUGUUCUUCCUGAUCCUGCAACAACAUGGCUCUGGAAUGGAGGGCAGUCACUGCCUUCCGGCAGCCCCAUCACCGUGGCUGGGGAGGAGGAGGCAGCCACAGAGGCCUCAGGGAGCAACAUCUCCCACUGCCCAGGCCUUUGGCAACACGAGUGAGAUGUGGCCUCUGCCCCAAGGGUGCUUGCAGAGCAGCAGGGAAGGUGAAUGUGAUAGUUAGUGGUUAAUAUUAAGUGUCAACUUGAUUGGACUGAAGGAUGCAAAGUAUUGUUUCUGGGUGUUUCUGGGUGUUGCCAGCAGAGAUUCACAUGUGAGUCAGUGGACUGGGAGAGGAAGACCCACCUACAAUGUGGGUGGGCACCAUCCAAUCGGCUGCCAGCAUGGCGAGAAAAAGCAGGCAGAAGAAGGUGGAGGAAGCUGACUUGCCGAGUCUCCCAGGCUUCAUCCUUCUUCCCUGCUGAAUGCUUCAUACCCUUGAACAUCAGACUCCUGGUUCUUCAGCUUCUGGACUCUUGGACUUACACCAGUGGUUUGCCAGAGUUCUCAGGCCUUCGGCCACAGACUGAAGGCUGCACUCUUGGCUUCCCUACUUCUCAGGUUUUUGGACUCGGACUGAGCCACUACUGGCUUCCCUGCUCCUCAGCUUGCAGACGGCCUGUCAUGGGACUUCACCCUGGGAUCGUGGUGAAGACUGUACCACGUUUUAUGUAUCCAUUCGUCUACACACGGAGGCUUGGGCUGAUUCCACCUCUGGGCUUUGUGAGUGAUGCUUCUAGGCAGACAGUUGUCACUUCAAGACCUUGCUUUCAAUCCUUCCGGGUGUAUACCCCGAAGCAGAAUUGCGGACCAAAGGCAGGCACGGGUUCCGCUUUCUCUACGUCCUCGCCAACAGCAGGCACAGGGUUCCCCUUUCUCUACGUCCUCGCCAACAGCAGGCACAGGGUCUGCUUUCUCUGUGUCCUCGCCAACAGUUUUUAUUUUCUGUGUUUUCAAUGGAUGUGAGGUGGUAUCUCAUUGUUUUCAUUUGCA